rnacentral:rRNA from 1 species
UCUACGGGAGGCAGCAGUGGGGAAUAUUGCGCAAUGGGCGAAAGCCUGACGCAGCGACGCCGCGUGAGGGAUGAAGGUCUUCGGAUCGUAAACCUCUGUCAGCAGGGAAGAACGGUCACUGUGCUAAUCAGCAGUGAAUUGACGGUACCUGCAAAGGAAGCACCGGCUAACUCCGUGCCAGCAGCCGCGGUAAUACGGAGGGUGCGAGCGUUAAUCGGAAUUACUGGGCGUAAAGCGCUCGUAGGCGGUAUGUCAAGUCAAGGGUGAAAUCCCCGCGCUAAACGUGGGAACUGCCUUUGAAACUGGCAAACUGGAGUGUGUGAGAGGAUAGUGGAAUUCCAGGUGUAGGAGUGAAAUCCGUAGAUAUCUGGAAGAACAUCAGUGGCGAAGGCGACUAUCUGGCACAUAACUGAUGCUGAGGAGCGAAAGCGUGGGUAGCAAACAGGAUUAGAUACCCUUGUAGUC